rnacentral:rRNA from 1 species
GUCCUGGCCCUAAGGUCUGUUACUACUCAACUUACACAUGCAAGUUUCCGCACCCCUGUGAAUAUGCCCUUACAUUCCAAUCCACCCUGGAGUAAGGAGCCGGUAUCAGGCACAACACUUUGCCCAAGACGCCUAGCCUCGCCACACCCACACGGGUCUACAGCAGUGAUUAAUAUUGAACAUGAGCGACAGCUCGAUUCAGUCAAAGUAAUUUAGAGCCGGCCAAUCUGGUGCCAGCCGCCGCGGUUACACCAGAGGCUCAAAUUGACCUUCAUCGGCGUAAAGCGUGGUAAAGGCC